AAAUACUUCUAUGGUUUUAAAGUUGGAAACCAUAGUCAUAGAAGUAUUUUUUGUACACUUGUCACAGUUUUGCGAAACAAAAGGCGCCCUUCACGGCUGGACGUGAGAUAAAUGUUUAGCAACAUGUCGUGCAGGCGUGCUCACGGGCAACAAAACGUUGUCACGAAAAACUGUCGGCCACGCGUGAAGAUAAACUUGUCAUCAAAGAAACUUGUCAUGGAAAACUUGCUCGUCUGUACGGGAGCUUACAGUUAAAUUUUUUCUUUUCCUUUAUUUAUUUAUUUAUUUAUUUAACUUUAAGUGUGCCACAUUGAAUGUAUACAUUGAAUAUAUAAACUUAAGACUACAAAGAAAACAAAAAAGCAUGCAUGAUUAAUGUGUGGCCAAAAAACCGCAUCAGCAGAUAAAGCCAAUUACAGUGUCAGUGAUCCCGACAGGCGAAUAUAUUUAUAGUUGCAACAUAUAAUUAGGUGCCCUGCAUAAGUAUACGUGCUGGUUACACUUUAUUUCUGUGGUCUCAGAUUUUCAGAAUUAAAGAUUCUAGAAACUGCUGUGUAAAAAUAAUUGCUGUGGAUGUUUCUGUAAUAGAAUCAAAACACUGCGCGCCUUCACGUGGGUAGCGUUUAAAGAUACAUGCCGGUUUACACGCUGUGAUUAUUUCUCUCACGAUUUUUGUCAUUCUGGGGUAUAAAAAUUACUGCUGACGCCACAAUUACUCGUCGUUUAGUUCAUGGCAAAAUUUUAAAUGUAGUCACUUUACAGGGGGGGGGGGGUCUUUACACGUGUUUCAUCGAUUACAUACGCCAGAAUAUGAAAUUAUGAAUCGCAAGUCUACACGAAACUAUAUUUCGUGUACAUAUUAAAACUCGAUACUCGAGUAUGUGACAGUGUAAGAAAUUAUUUUGGACGGCAUUUAAUCUUCACGUUUCUCUGAGGAUGAUUUUGUAAAAAGUAUAUACUUCGACGAACUUCGUCGUGUUUCGCUCGUUGCUCUGGUUUAAAAAAAUGAAUGCAAAGCCAAAGCCCAGUCGAAUUGCAUUCACGACCCAACGUUUUGACACUCCAGUACUGGGAAUUGAAUUCGUUUCUUGAAACCAGAGUAGCGAGCGAAAACAUGACUGAUAUUUAUAUACCUAGUUGCCGUGAACUUACAAAUUUUAAAGAUAUAUAUACUCUUCUAUUAAGUACAAUCCAUAUUAUACAGUUCACUAUGGUUUCAACACGUUACCCCAUCAAACAAGAGCAGUGUGUCUUUGUUUGACAGUACACAAAUAGCGGACAUUCCAAAUGUACUUUGACAGUUCAAAUCUAAAUCCUAGUGGCUUUACACGAUUUCGACGUGUACGACCGAUAUAUUUUGACUGCCGAUAUUUUCCCAACGGCAAAAUUUCACCAUGUACGUUGGCAAACAAACAAACGAUCGC